rnacentral:rRNA from 1 species
CAGCAGCCACGGUAAUACGUAGGGUGCAAGCGUUAAUCGGAAUUACUGGGCGUAAAGCGUGCGCAGGCGGUUUGUUAAGACAGAUGUGAAAUCCCCGGGCUCAACCUGGGAACUGCAUUUGUGACUGGCAAGCUAGAGUAUGGCAGAGGGGGGUGGAAUUCCGCGUGUAGCAGUGAAAUGCGUAGAUAUGCGGAGGAACACCGAUGGCGAAGGCAGCCCCCUGGGCCAAUACUGACGCUCAUGCACGAAAGCGUGGGGAGCAAACAGGAUUAGAUACCCCUGUAGUCCCUGUCUCUUAUAA